rnacentral:lncRNA from 1 species
ACAUGCACAAGAUCUAAUCUAAACUACUUUAUCAAGAUCUAUAAUAUGAUUAAACAUGUGAUUAAGAUCUGAAAAUAAUAAAAUCUACAUCGAUUAUAUCGAUACUCUAGAUUAGAUCUAACCAUUAGAUUUAAUCAAAUCUGAUCUAACAAGUUUAGAACUCAUUAUUGAAGCAUGGAUUGUUGAUCUUCACAAUUGUA